rnacentral:lncRNA from 1 species
UAUGAAUCGAACUUUUAGGGUAUGGGUUGAAUUUCUUUAGUUUAGUUAGUUUAUGUUUAAACUCGUAGGAUAUGAAUUGAAAUUUUAGUUUUUAGGAUUUGUUCUUGUGAAUUGAAUUUUUAGGAUAUGAAUUGAACUUUUAAGAUAUGAAUUGGACCUUUUGGAUAUGAAUUAAACUUUUAGGAUAUAAAUUGGUGUAAUUAGGAAAAAAUAAUUAUCUUGAAUUAACUAAAAAAGAUAUAAUUAAUUUAUAAUUGUAGAAUAAAUUAAUUUGUUCUUGU